rnacentral:lncRNA from 1 species
UGGUUAUGGAGGUGUUGUUAUCUUCAGGAUAGGGUACAGUGAAAAGAUGGUCUUCUCUUGGUCCGGUGUUUGCAUGCAAAGCUCUGGAGAUACAUAUAUAUAUAUAUAUUUAUGUUAUAUGUAUAUAUAAUGAGACUUCCAUACCAUACAAAAAAGGUCUGCCAAGUUAGGAUAUGAUACUUAAGCAGUUGUACCAGCCCAUGUGCUGACUCUUCUCGCAGAGAAAAGAAAUACAUCAGGAACUCGUUUGCCACCAAAAUCCACAGAACUCAGGAUUUAUACCUGAAAGGGCUUCUUGUCUUAUCACCCGUUCUCCGCUACCAUACGUAGGCAAACACUAAGAAAGGACAGCAGUGAAUAACCUUCCUUUCAUUGGGGUUGCAGACCUCUUCUGUCUAAUUUCACUCAUGGAGCACAAUAGCUGAAGAAGUUUAUUUGAUGUUUUUUGAGGAUGGUGUUUAGGGCACGGCUUUCUGUAAAGUUUGCUCUGCAGAACAGGUCACGGACACUUCAUAGAGCUGGGGACAGAGCAAAGCCCAAGGAACCACCUUAGCACAGGUUUUAAAUGUUAAUUACUUGACUGAAGCGAGUAACCUUUAAAUCAUAUUUUUAAAUUUUAGGAUAUCUCAAGAGCUGUAAAACAUUCAAAUAAGAAAUUCAUUAAAAUUGACAAGCCCCCUGUAUGCCAAAAACUACUACAGAAAGGAAAGAGGUAUAGAUUAGUUUGUGAGCCAGAAGCUGAAAUAACUCCAGAGGAAAUUGAAUUUGUUGAUGGAUCUCUCUUGAAACUAAAAAGUUACAUUGAAGUCUAUUUGGAGAAACCCGAUGACUUCACCUUGUCUUUGGUUGAGCUGGAGUCUGAUGCGACCGUAUGGAAAGCAAAACUACGAGAGAGUGACUGGAUCCAUUACGAUCAGAACAAAAAUGAGCAGAAAAGAAGUGCAGUCGGUGUCAAAAAACGGAAAACAGCACUCAGUAUUUUGGAAGAAGAUGAGCUCUGUAGCAAAAAGCAAAAGACCGGCAAUACUGCAGGUAGAGCAUUUCUGUGUCAUUUAAAAUAAUGGGUUUGAGUUGUUUUGUGGUGGUUGUUUUUUCAUGUCCUGUGAAUUGAACCAGAGCUCACUUUCUUAAAGGGCAUGAGGAUAUAGGAGGGGAAAGCGCUGCUUUUGUAGAUAGGGGAUUUGUACCUGCCUUCGUAUGUUUUGGUACACUUUCAUUCAUUCGGUAAAUAAAGGGGAAGAAGCAGCCA